rnacentral:rRNA from 1 species
UACAGAGGGGGCAAGCGUUAAUCGGAAUUACUGGGCGUAAAGCGUGCGCAGGCGGCUUUGCAAGACAGAUGUGAAAUCCCCGGGCUCAACCUGGGAACUGCAUUUGUGACUGCAUGGCUAGAGUACGGUAGAGGGGGAUGGAAUUCCGCGUGUAGCAGUGAAAUGCGUAGAUAUGCGGAGGAACACCGAUGGCGAAGGCAAUCCCCUGGACCUGUACUGACGCUCAUGCACGAAAGCGUGGGGAGCAAACAGG